CGACCUCAGAUCAGGUGGGACUCCCCGCCGAAUUUAAGCAUAUUAGUAAGCGGAGGAAAAGAAACUAACGAGGAUUCCCUUAGUAGCUGCGAGCGAACAGGGACAAGCCCAUCACUGAAUCCCAAAAGCCUCGCUUUUAGGGAAAUGUAGUGUUUAGGAGUGCUCGUUUAACCCGAGGCCUGUGCACUGUGUUCAAGUCCAUCUUGAACGGGGCCACGGUCCGUAGAGGGUGCCAGGCCCGUAGAUGACCGGUGCCGGCCUCGGGUGGGCCUCUCCUUAGAGUCGGGCUGCUUGAGAGUGCAGCCCUAAGCGGGUGGUAAACUCCAUCUAAGGCUAAAUACAACCACGAGACCGAUAGAGAACAAGUACCGUGAGGGAAAGUUGAAAAGAACUUUGAAGAGAGAGUUCAAGAGUACGUGAAACCGCUCAGGGGUAAACGGAAAAGACCCGAAGCCCCGAAAAGGGAGAUUCACGUCUUCUCGCUGGCUCGAGUCCUCGAUCGGAGGGAUGGUCUUUUGCCCCAGUCCGGCUCGCCGUGACUGUGGGUCGGCCGCUUUCCACGGGGUCAUUGAGCCGCGGGGGACCGCACUUCUCCCCUAGUAGGACGUCGCGACCCGCUCUGCGGCGGUCUAAGGUCUGGAGUGUAGUCUGGAAAAAAAAAAAUUACAAGAAAAAUUUUCUUUAUAAUAUCAGACCUCCUGAAUCUUGGCUGUCGAUCCGGGCGGAAUCGAAAGACUUUGGCGCUAGGCCGCUCCAUGAGAGCGCCGUUGCCUCACAGCAAGGCCGGGUGUUUGCUUGGGGGUGGCUUAACCGUCACGCUCGAGUGAGCUUUCGUGUCCCUCGCAGUGAAGGCUCCGGCACGGCUUAGCACGCCUGUCUGCGGCGCUUCAGAUUCGGGAACUUAUCCGACCCGUCUUGAAACACGGACCAAGGAGUUUAGCGUGUGCGCAAGUCAUUGGGUUAAAAACCUAAAGGCGCAAUGAAAGUGUCAGAGAGGCCACAUCGGCCUCUCGAAGGGAGGAUGUGCCUCUGUACUAAUACUGUCCAGAGCACCGCACUCUCGGGGCGUCUCGUUCUCUUUACGAGUGGAGACGCACCAGGAGCGCACACGCUGAUACCCGAAAGAUGGUGAACUAUGCCUGGCCAGGACGAAGCCAGGGGAAACCCUGGUGGAGGUCCGAAGCGGUUCUGACGUGCAAAUCGAUCGUCUGAGCUGGGUAUAGGGGCGAAAGACCAAUCGAACCAUCUAGUAGCUGGUUCCCUCUGAAGUUUCCCUCAGGAUAGCUGGCUCUCGGGAAGAGACGAGUCUCAUCCGGUAGAGCGAAUGAUUAGAGGUGAUGGGGUCGAAACGACUUCAACCUAUUCUCAAACUCCCAAUAGAUGAGAGCCCCGGCUUGCUUAAAAGUGAAGCCGUGGGACUCGGAUCAGAGAUGCCAAGUGGGCCAAUUUUGGUAAGCAGAACUGGCGCUGUGGGAUGAACCAAACGCAGAGUUAAGGCGCCUGAUUCGACGCUCAUGUGAAACCACGAAAGGCGUUGGUUGCUUAAGACAGCAGGAGGGUGGCCAUGGAAGUCGGAAUCCCCUAAGGAGUGUGUAACAACUCACCUGCCGAAGCAACUAGCCCUGAAAAUGGAUGGCGCUGUAGCGUCGUGCCUAUACUCUGCCGUCAAAGGCAAAGCAGGCCGCCCCUAAGGGGAAUCGCUGUUAAGCCUUGACGAGUAAGAGGGUCGCGGCGGUGAGCGCGGAAGGGUCUGGGCGUGAGCCCGCCUGGAGCCGCCGCCGGUGCAGAUCUUGGUGGUAGUAGCAAAUACUCCAGCGAGGCCCUGGAGGACUGAUGUGGAGAAGGGUUUCUUGUGAACAGCUGUUGCACAAGAGUCAGUCGAUCCUAAGCCCUAGGAGAAAUCCGAAGAGAAUGGUUGCCGUUAAGACUCUAGUUUUGCUUUGAUAUCUUCAUUGCUUAAUUAAAUAUGGGCAGGCACCGUUCGGGCGAAAGGGAAUCCGGUUCCUAUUCCGGAACCCGGCAGCGGAACCGCUCCAAUUCGGGCCCUCACCCGAGGACUCGUCGGGGUGACCCGAAAUGACCCGGAGAAGCCGUAGGGAGAUCCGGGGAGAGUUUUCUCUUCUCUAUAAGCGUUCGAGUUCCCUGGAAGCCUCUAGGAGGGAGAUAGGGUUUGGAACGCGAAGAGCACCGCACUUACGGCGGUGUCCGGAUCUUCCCCUCGGACCUUGAAAAUCCGGGCGAGGGCCACGGGGAACACCGCGCCGGCUCGUACCCAUAUCCGCAGCAGGUCUCCAAGGUGAAUAGCCUCUAGUCGAUAGAAUAAUGUAGGUAAGGGAAGUCGGCAAACCCGAUCUGUAACUUCGGGAUAAGGAUUGGCUCUGAGGAUCGUGGCGCGCCGGGCUUGGUCGGGAAGUGGAGCGGUGCCAACGUGCCGGGCCUGGGCGGGGCGAAAUGCUUACUGCAUGGACCCUAGCUCGGUCCCGUGCCUUGGCCACCCACG
rnacentral:rRNA from 1 species